UACAGAGGUCUCAAGCGUUGUUCGGAUUCAUUGGGCGUAAAGGGUGCGUAGGCGGCGCGGUAAGUCGGGUGUGAAAUCUUGGAGCUUAACUCCGAAACUGCAUUCGAUACUGCCGUGCUUGAGGACUGGAGAGGAGACUGGAAUUUACGGUGUAGCGGUGAAAUGCGUAGAUAUCGUAAGGAAGACCAGUGGCGAAGGCGGGGUCUCUGGACAGUUCCUGACGCUGAAGCACGAAGGCCAGGGGAGCAAACGGG
rnacentral:rRNA from 1 species